CAGCGGGGGGUUAACAGCUUAAAAAUACACGUUUAUCUCCCUCAACACCACCUCUACAUAAAAACUAACGCUUAUUUGUAUAGAUAAAAAAAAUUGAGGUUAUGUCAUGAUGGCUCGCGUUGCUGGAUGUCCUUAUUAUUUGUUUACCCCCCCCCCCCUCGGCGGCGGGUGGGUCGGCCCAGCCCGUCGCCUUCCCUGCUCCGGAAGGGGCAGGGCUGUGAGGGGAGGAGGCCGGAGCGGGCGUUGGGCACGCGUGUGGGGCGGCCGCUGGCUGGGAGGGGCGCGCGCGGGCGGCUUCACCUCAGCGCCACAGCACAGCCCGGCACGGCUCAGCUCGGCUCAACACAGCCCGGCACGACACGGUUCGGCACAGAACAACCCGGCCAUGCCGCCCCCGCCGGGCCAAACCCAGCUCCCGGACUGGGACGGCUUAAAACUCCGCGUGCGGACCCUGAUCGCCUCCCACCGCGUGAUGAUAUUCAGCAAGAGCUACUGCCCCUACUGCAACCAGGUGAGGCGGCGGCCCCCGAGCCCCCUCAGCCUCUCCUUCAGGCCCGAAGGCCCAGGCCUUGGGCUUCUGAGGGCUGAGUGAGGUCGCUGCGGGGAUGCUGCUUCGUGUCAGGGCUCCUGUGGGGUUUGCGCUGUGGUUUUGAGGUGCUGUGCCCGCCUUAACGCCCGGUGGGAGCAGGUUUUGUGGGGAUUGAGGUGAGGUGAGGUCCGAGCUGGGGUUCUGGGUGAUUUUUUAAUUAUUUUUUUUUCCUUUGCCACGUGAGCAAAGGGCAGCGGAGUGCGUGGGAUGUGCGACACAGCCUGUGCCUUCCUCCGCUGCGGGACCUGCUGCUUCAAGGUCAGGGCGCUGGCAGGGCUGCUUUCCUGCCACAAGUGUGAGCGCCUCGUUUGUGCUCAGCUUGGUCGAAGCUGCACCCUCACUUAACAGAAAGUUAAACCUUAUCUUGUUUUUGAAAUCCGGAGGAGAAGGUUGACUAUAGGAAAAUCAGAAGCUCAAAAUCCUAGUCAUGAAGCAUCUUUUCCCAAAAGAAGUCACUCCUGCUGAGUUGUGAUGAGAUGUUCCCUAGCCCUGUUAUGUGUGAAUCACACAGGUUAGCUGUAACUGGUGAGCAAGAGUCAUUAAAGAAAUGUGGGAUCUUCAUUAGAAUUCAGUGAUACCAGCAGGCUGUAGUCAUAGCCCUCAACGACCUGGGUGUUCGUAGGCAGUACGAUUCCUGGAUGUUUACAAACAGCAUGUUGUGGAAUGUUAUUUAAACCUAAUGAUGGCAUGUUUGAUGUGGCCAUGGUGGAAGAAACACAAGUGGGAUUGAGUUCUGAUAUGCUUUAAUGGAGCUGACAACCCGAGAAGGUUCUUGGAGCUGCUCUCCUGUGUGUAGCUGGGUUUAGUUACAGUCCCUCUUGUGAGGGAGGACUUUUGUGUUUGGGCCUUCCUGUAGGAAACUUGAGUGAAUGUAUUCUGUCACAUUUGCAACUUAAUUGAUGCUUUCAGAAAGGAAACUUCUGUGUGUAAGAGGACAGGACAAACCAAUCAGUGUUGUCCUCUCUUGAUGAGAAUCGUUUGUUGAUGGCUUCAGUGCUGUCCU
rnacentral:lncRNA from 1 species